rnacentral:rRNA from 1 species
UCUACCCUAGGGUGGGGAAUAACUCCUCGAAAGGGGAGCUAAUGCCGACAUGUGCGCCACUCUCGCAAGGGAGUGAUGGAAAGCCGUACCGCGGGUGCGGCGCCCAAGGAUGAGCUCACGUCCUAUCAGCUUGUUGGCGGGGUAACGGCCCACCAAGGCUGCGACGGGUAGCUGGUCUGAGAGGACGACCAGCCACACUGGCACUGCGACACGGGCCAG